rnacentral:rRNA from 1 species
GAUGAACGCUGGCGGCAGGCCUAAUACAUGCAAGUCGAACGGCUCUUCGGAGCAGUGGCGGACGGGUGAGUAACACGUGGGAACGUGCCCUCUGGUACGGAACAACUGAGGGAAACUUCAGCUAAUACCGUAUGUGCCCCCAUUCUUAGCGGGAUGGGUGGGAAAGAUUUAUCGCCAUUGGAGCGGCCCGCGUUGGAUUAGCUAGUUGGUGGGGUAAAGACCCACCAAGGCUACGAUCCAUAGCUGGUCUAAGAGGAUGAUCAGCCACACUGGGACUGAGACACGGCCCAGACUCCUACGGGAGGCAGCAGUAGGGAAUCUUGCGCAAUGGGCGAAAGCCUGACGCAGCCAUGCCGCGUGAAUGAUGAAGGUCUUAGGAUUGUAAAAUUCUUUCACCGGGGAAGAUAAUGACGGUACCCGGAGAAGAAGCCCCGGCUAACUUCGUGCCAGCCGCCGCCGUAA